UAGCUAUGUGUGUGCGUAUGAACUUUUU
rnacentral:piRNA from 1 species